GGGGGUGCACCGGUUUCGACGGAUGCGGGAAUGCGUGUGCUGCAAGUGGGCGUGAAGGUGCCCUGAACUGACGAAAAAAAUAACUGCGAAACGUAGAGAAGACGAAGAGUCUGAAAACGAACAGUUCGCUCUUGCCGCGUAAGCGGUUCGAGCCGGAGUCCCUGCCGCGCUGUUCCGAACGGCGGGAGGCUCUGUUGCUGACCGGAACUUGAUGCGCCGUUUUUCUGGCGGCGGCGCGUGACAAUCUGCUGGAAUACGGAAGAGACGCUUGUGAUGCUGCUACCUUUUCCCGACAAAUACCUCGCAUCACUACACUUGUAGACGCGCACGGAUUACGCACUCGGACGGGGGUUCGAUUCCCCCCAUCUCCAA
rnacentral:tmRNA from 1 species